GAUGAACGCUGGCGGCGUGCUUAACACAUGCAAGUCGAACGAUGAUCCGGUGCUUGCACCGGGGAUUAGUGGCGAACGGGUGAGUAACACGUGAGUAACCUGCCCUUAACUCUGGGAUAAGCCUGGGAAACUGGGUCUAAUACCGGAUAUGACUCCUCAUCGCAUGGUGGGGGGUGGAAAGCUUUUGUGGUUUUGGAUGGACUCGCGGCCUAUCAGCUUGUUGGUGAGGUAAUGGCUCACCAAGGCGACGACGGGUAGCCGGCCUGAGAGGGUGACCGGCCACACUGGGACUGAGACACGGCCCAGACUCCUACGGGAGGCAGCAGUGGGGAAUAUUGCACAAUGGGCGGAAGCCUGAUGCAGCGACGCCGCGUGAGGGAUGACGGCCUUCGGGUUGUAAACCUCUUUCAGUAGGGAAGAAGCGAAAGUGACGGUACCCGCAGAAGAAGCGCCGGCUAACUACGUGCCAGCCGCCGCCGUAA
rnacentral:rRNA from 1 species